UACGUAGGGUGCGAGCGUUAAUCGGAAUUACUGGGCGUAAAGCGUGCGCAGGCGGCCGAGCAGGUCGAGUGUGAAAGCCCCGAGCUUAACUUGGGAACUGCGCUCGAAACUACUUGGCUAGAGUGUGGCAGAGGGAGGUGGAAUUCCACGUGUAGCGGUGAAAUGCGUAGAGAUGUGGAGGAACACCGAUGGCGAAGGCAGCCUCCUGGGCCAACACUGACGCUCAUGCACGAAAGCGUGGGGAGCAAACAGG
rnacentral:rRNA from 1 species